rnacentral:rRNA from 1 species
AACCAGUCGAAAGAUUGGCUAAUACCGCAUAAGACCACUUUUAUUAGUGGUAAAAGAAUUUCGCUUCGAGAUGAGCCUGCGUAAGAUUAGCUAGUUGGUAGGGUAAUGGCCUACCAAGGCUUUGAUCUUUAACUGGUCUGAGAGGAUGAUCAGUCACACUGGAACUGAGACACGGUCCAGACUCCUACGGGAGGCAGCAGUAGGGAAUAUUGCGCAAUGGGGGAAACCCUGACGCAGCGACGCCGCGUGAGCGAUGAAGGCCUUCGGGUCGUAAAGCUCUGUCGUAUGGGAAUAAUUUUGAAUGUACCAUAUAAGAAAGGAUCGGCUAACUUCGUGCCAGCAGCCGCGGUAAGACGAGGGAUCCUAGCGUUGUUCGGAAUCAUUGGGCGUAAAGCGGGUGUAGGUUGCUUUUUAAGUCAGGUGUGAAAGCCUAGGGCUCAACCCUAGAAGUGCAUCUGAUACUAUUAAGCUUGAGUGUGGAAGAGGCUAUUAGAAUUCCUGGUGUAGUGGUGAAAUACGUAGAUAUCAGGAGGAAUACCGGUUGCGAAGGCGGAUAGCUGGUCCAACACUGACACUAAGACCCGAAAGCGUGGGGAUCAAACAGGAUUAGAUACCCUGGUAGUCCACGCCGUAAACGAUGGAUACUUGUUGUUGGAGGUAUUGACCCCUUCAGUGACGAAGCUAACGCGUUAAGUAUCCCGCCUGGGAAGUACGGUCGCAAGAUUAAAACUCAAAGAAAUUGACGGGGGCCCGCACAAGCGGUGGAGCAUGUGGUUUAAUUCGAUGCAACGCGAAAACCUUACCUGGGUUUGAAAUAGACAAGAAAAGUACCAGAAAUGGUCUCUCGCAGAGCUUGUUUACAGUGCUGCAUGCUGUCGUCAGCUGUGUCGUGAGAUUGUUGGGUUAGUCCCGCACGAGCGCACCUGCUUUAGUGCAGCAUUUAGUUGGGCCACUCUAGGGGACUGCGACGUUAGUCGGAGAG